GACGAACGCUGGCGGCGUGCCUAAUACAUGCAAGUUGAGCGCUGAAGGUUGGUACUUGUACCAACUGGAUGAGCAGCGAACGGGUGAGUAACGCGUGGGGAAUCUGCCUUUGAGCGGGGGACAACAUUUGGAAACGAAUGCUAAUACCGCAUAAAAACUUUAAACACAAGUUUUAAGUUUGAAAGAUGCAAUUGCAUCACUCAAAGAUGAUCCCGCGUUGUAUUAGCUAGUUGGUGAGGUAAAGGCUCACCAAGGCGAUGAUACAUAGCCGACCUGAGAGGGUGAUCGGCCACAUUGGGACUGAGAAACGGCCCAAACUCCUACGGGAGGCAGCAGUAGGGAAUCUUCGGCAAUGGACGAAAGUCUGACCGAGCAACGCCGCGUGAGUGAAGAAGGUUUUCGGAUCGGAAAACUCUGUUGGUAGAGAAGAACGUUGGUGAGAGUGGAAAGCUCAUCAAGUGACGGUAACUACCCAGAAAGGGACGGCUAACUACGUG
rnacentral:rRNA from 1 species